AUCAAAUGCCGGACAUUCAAUGGUAACCAACAUUUCUGAUUGGCAGUGUCUUGGAUUACAACAACACAGAUGGAAAUAUCAACAUCCUUCCAUUGCUCAAAACCAUAAUCAGCCACAAAAUACCAGUAUGCAUCUUCAGUGGUGAUCAAGACUCAGUUGUUCCAUUGUUAGGAUCUCGAACACCUUGUACGAGAACUAGCACAUGAGAUGAAACACAGCAUUACAGUUCCAUAUCGCACAUGGUUCUAUAAAGACCAGUGGGAGGAUGGAUGACAGAGUAUGGGAAACUGCUGACAUUUGCUACAGUGAGAGGUGCUGCUCAUAUGGUUCCUUAUGCACAACCAGGAAGAGCUCUGCAACUCUUCAAGUCAUUUGUGAAAGGACAGAGACUUCCAAACAUAACACAAACUUCCUUUUGAUCUUUUGUUCUUGUACUGUUUCAAAUCACAUUUUUGUGAACUUUUGAAGAAGCACAAAUAAUAACAGAAGAAUAGUUUGUGUUAUAUAAUAUAUAUAAGAGUUUGUGUCUGUAUAUGGGAUUUUAGUCCC